ACCAGCGUUUUAAAAAUCGCCGAGUCGAACCGGACUCGCCCGGUUCGACUCGGAAUUCACGAAAAAGGGACCGGAUCGGUUCAAAAACCGGGAAUCGUCCGGUUCUAGAGAGAACCGGACGAUUCCGCACAGUGACUCGCCGAUUCACUGUGCGGAAUCGGCGAGUCCGUGAAGAACACGGGUUGCACAGUGUUCUUCACGGAUUUUUUUCAAAUUUGUCAUAUUUUGAUCAUUUUUUUUGUUUUUUUCGGCACGUGAUCUGUUUUUCAGGCUGUAAACAGCUUUAUUCAGCUUUUUUAACGAUUUAAUGGUGGAAAAAUUGGUUGUUUUUUUAUCAAGAAAAAUUCGGGGUUCAGGGUUUCCGCC
rnacentral:lncRNA from 1 species